rnacentral:misc_RNA from 1 species
GAUGAAGAACGUAGCGAAAUGCGAUAAGUAAUGUGAAUUGCAGAAUUCAGUGAAUCAUCGAAUCUUUGAACGCACAUUGCGCCCGCCAGUAUUCUGGCGAGCAUGCCUGUUCGAGCGUCAUUUCAACCAUCAAGCCCCAGGCUUGUGUUGGAGCCCUGCGGCUGCCGCAGCCUCCCAAAACCAGUGGCGGGCUCGCUAUCACACCGAGUGCAGUAGUUUACUCUUCGCUCAGGGCGUGUGGCGGGUGCUAGCCGUGAAACCCCCAACUUCUCAAGGUUGACCUCGGAUCAGGUAGGAAUACCCGCUGAACUUGAGCAUAUCAAUAAGCGGAGGA